rnacentral:rRNA from 1 species
CAGCCGCCGCGGUAAUACCGGCGGCCCGAGUGGCGGUCACUAUUAUUGGGCUUAAAGCGUCCGUAGCCGGGUUGGGAAGUCCUCCGGGAAAUCUGGCCGCUUAACGGUCAGAAUGCCGGAGGAUACUCCCAGCCUAGGGAGCGGGAGAGGCCGAGGGUAUUCCCGGAGGAGGGGUGAAAUCCUAUAAUCCCGGGAGGGCCACCUGUGGCGAAGGCGCUCGGCUGGAACGCGUCCGACGGUGAGGGACGAAGGCCAGGGGAGCAAACCGGAUUAGAUACCCGGGUAGUCCUGGCUGUAAACGAUGCGGACUUUGUGUCGGACAAGCUAUGAGCUUGUCCGGUGCCGGAGGGAAACCGUUAAGUCCGCCGCCUGGGGAGUACGGCCGCAAGGCUGAAACUUAAAGGAAUUGGCGGG